UACGUAGGGUGCAAGCGUUAAUCGGAAUUACUGGGCGUAAAGCGUGCGCAGGCGGUCUUGCAAGACAGAUGUGAAAUCCCCGGGCUUAACCUGGGAAUGGCAUUGGUGACUGCACGGCUAGAGUGUGUCAGAGGGGGGUAGAAUUCCACGUGUAGCAGUGAAAUGCGUAGAGAUGUGGAGGAAUACCGAUGGCGAAGGCAGCCCCCUGGGAUAACACUGACGCUCAUGCACGAAAGCGUGGGGAGCAAACAGG
rnacentral:rRNA from 1 species